rnacentral:rRNA from 2 species
GUUAUAGGGUCAAGCGAACAAGUGCAUGUGGUGGAUGCCUUGGCGAUCACAGGCGAUGAAGGACGCGGUAGCCUGCGAAAAGCUGCGGGGAGCUGGCAAACGAGCUUUGAUCCGCAGAUGUCCGAAUGGGGAAACCCGGCCCGUAUGGGUCAUCCUAGGCUGAAUACAUAGGUCUAGUGAAGCGAACGCGGCGAACUGAAACAUCUAAGUAGCCGCAGGAAGAGAAAUCAACCGAGAUUCCCAAAGUAGUGGCGAGCGAAAUGGGAAGAGCCUGUACGUGUUAUUUGUGUUGUUAGCUGAACGCUCUGGAAAGGGCGGCCAUAGCGGGUGAUAGCCCCGUAAGCGAAAACAGCAUGAAAGGACUAGGCGUACGACAAGUAGGGCGGGACACGUGAAAUCCUGUCUGAAGAUGGGGGGACCAUCCUCCAAGGCUAAAUACUCGUGAUCGACCGAUAGUGAACCAGUACCGUGAGGGAAAGGCGAAAAGAACCCCGGGAGGGGAGUGAAAUAGAUCCUGAAACCGCAUGCAUACAAACAGUCGGAGCUCGAAAGAGUGACGGCGUACCUUUUGUAUAAUGGGUCAGCGACUUACGUUCAGUAGCAAGCUUAACCGAAUAGGGCAGGCGUAGCGAAAGCGAGUCCGAAUAGGGCGUUCAGUUGCUGGGCGUAGACCCGAAACC